GCCCGUGUAGCUCACUGGUAGAGCAACUGACUUGUAAUCAGUAGGUUGUCGGUUCGAGUCCGAUCAUUGGCU
rnacentral:tRNA from 1 species